rnacentral:tRNA from 1 species
GGGCAGCAUUCUUGGAGAAAUUUUGUCUUGAAAACAAAAAGAAGGCGUUCGACUCGCCUACUUCCUU